GAGAGUUUGAUCCUGGCUCAGAUUGAACGCUGGCGGCAGGCCUAACACAUGCAAGUCGAGCGGUAGAGAGAAGCUUGCUUCUCUUGAGAGCGGCGGACGGGUGAGUAAUGCCUAGGAAUCUGCCUGGUAGUGGGGGAUAACGCUCGGAAACGGACGCUAAUACCGCAUACGUCCUACGGGAGAAAGCAGGGGACCUUCGGGCCUUGCGCUAUCAGAUGAGCCUAGGUCGGAUUAGCUAGUUGGUGAGGAAAUGNCUCACNAAUGCNACGAUUCGUUCUGG
rnacentral:rRNA from 1 species